rnacentral:SRP_RNA from 1 species
GCCAGGCGCGGUGGCGGGCGCCUGUAGUCCCAGCUACUCAGGAGGCUGAGGCAGGAGAAUGGCGUGAACCCGGGAGGCGGAGCUUGCAGUGAGCCGAGAUCGCGCACCAUUGCACUCCAGCCAGGGCGACAAGAGCCANNNNNNNNNNUGGCUCUUGUCGCCCUGGCUGGAGUGCAAUGGUGCGCGAUCUCGGCUCACUGCAAGCUCCGCCUCCCGGGUUCACGCCAUUCUCCUGCCUCAG